rnacentral:tRNA from 2 species
UCCUUAGUAGCUCAGUGGUAGAGCG